UACGUAGGGGGCAAGCGUUGUCCGGAUUUAUUGGGCGUAAAGAGCGUGUAGGCGGCUUUACAGGUCCGUUGUGAAAACUCGAGGCUCAACCUCGAGACGCCGGUGGAAACCGUAAGGCUAGAGUCCGGAAGAGGAGAGUGGAAUUCCUGGUGUAGUGGUGAAAUACGUAGAUAUCUGGAGGAACACCGGUGGCGAAGGCGGCUACCUGGCCCAACAUUGACACUUAGACCCGAAAGCGUGGGGAUCAAACAGG
rnacentral:rRNA from 1 species